GACGAACGCUGGCGGCGUGCUUAACACAUGCAAGUCAAGGGGGUCCAGCAAUGGGCAACCGGCGAACGGGUGCGUAACACGUGAGCAACCUACCGAACUGUGGGGGAUAGCCGGCCUAACGGCCGAGUAAUACCGCAUACGCUUUCAGUGAGGCAUUUCAUUGAAAGGAAACCUACGGGACAGAUCGAGGGGCUCGCGGCCUAUCAGCUAGUUGGCGAAGUAACGGCUCACCAAGGCAACGACGGGUAGCUGGUCUGAGAGGAUGGCCAGCCACAUUGGGACUGAGGCACGGCCCAGACUCCUACGGGAGGCAGCAGUGGGGAAUCUUGCGCAAUGGGGGAAACCCUGACGCAGCCAUGCCGCGUGAAUGAUGAAGGUCUUAGGAUUGUAAAAUUCUUUCAGCGGGGACGAUAAUGACGGUACCCGCAGAAGAAGCUCCGGC
rnacentral:rRNA from 1 species